UACGUAGGGGGCAAGCGUUGUCCGGAAUCAUUGGGCGUAAAGCGCGUGUAGGCGGCCUUGUAAGUCCGUUCUGAAAGCCCGGGGCUCAACCCCGGGAGGCGGAUGGAUACUGCAAGGCUCGAGUACGGAAGAGGCGAGUGGAAUUCCCGGUGUAGCGGUGAAAUGCGCAGAUAUCGGGAGGAACACCAACGGCGAAGGCAGCACUCUGGGCUGGAACUGACGCUGAGGAGCGAAAGCGUGGGUAGCAAACAGG
rnacentral:rRNA from 1 species